UUGGAGGGCAAGUCUGGUGCCAGCAGCCGCGGUAAUUCCAGCUCCAAUAGCGUAUAUUAAAGUUGUUGCAGUUAAAAAGCUCGUAGUUGAAUUUUAGGCCUGGCCGGGCGGUCCGUCUUUGGCGAGUACUGUUCUGUGUCGGGUCUUACCUUCUGGUAAACCGGCAUGUUCUUUUAUUGUGUGUGCCGUGGGAACCAGACCAUUACCUUGAAAAAAUUAGAGUGUUUAAAGCGGGCUUUUGCUUGAAUAGAUUAGCAUGGAAUAAUAAAAUAGGACGUUGGUUCUAUUUUGUUGGUCUAGGACCACCGUAAUGAUUAAUAGGGAUAGUUGGGGGCAUUAGUAUUCAAUUGUCAGAGGUGAAAUUCUUGGAUUUAUUGAAGACUAACUAUUGCGAAAGCAUUUGCCAAGGAUGUUUUCAUUAAUCAAGAACGAAAGUUAGGGGAUCGAAGACGAUCAGAUACCGUCGUAGUCUUAACCAUAAACUAUGCCGACUAGGAAUCGGGCGUCGUUAUUUUCACGACUCG
rnacentral:rRNA from 1 species